UCUUCCACAAUGGACGAAAGUCUGCCGGAGCAACGCCGCGUGAGUGAUGAAGGCUUUCGGAUCGUAAAACUCUGUUGUUAGGGAAGAANAAGUACCGUUCGAAUAGGGCGGUACCUCGACGGUACCUAACCAGACAGCCACGGCCAACCACGUGCCAGCAGCCGCGGUAAUACGUAGGUGGCAAGCGUUGUCCGGAAUUAUUGGGCGUAAAGCGCGCGCGGGCGGUUUCUUAAGUCUGAUGUGAAAGCCCCCGGCUCAACCGGGGAGGGUCAUUGGAAACUGGGGAACUUGAGUGCAGAAGAGGAGAGUGGAAUUCCACGUGUAGCGGUGAAAUGCGUAGAGAUGUGGAGGAACACCAGUGGCGAAGGCGACUCUCUGGUCUGUAACUGACGCUGAGGCGCGAAAGCGUGGGGAGCGAACAG
rnacentral:rRNA from 1 species